rnacentral:rRNA from 1 species
GGCCGCAGUAUUUUGRCUGNGCAAAGGUAGCAUAAUAAUUAGUCUUUUAAUUGAAGGCUUGUAUGAAUGAUUGGACGAGGCAAAUACUGUUUUAUAUAAAUUAUUAUUGAAUUUAGGUUUUAAGUAAAAAAACUUAAAUAUAAUUAAGGGACGAGAAGACCCUAUAGAGUUUAAUAAAUUAUCUAAUUAAUUGAGUUAAAAUUUAAUUUUUGGUUAUUAUUAAAUUUAUUUAAUUGGGGUGAUUAAAGAAUAAUUAAAACUUUUUUUUAAACUUUAUAUUAUAAGUAAUUAUAUGAUCCAUUAAUUAAUGAUUAAAAGAUUAAAUUCCCUUAGGGAUAACAGCAUAA